rnacentral:rRNA from 1 species
AACAAACGCUGGCGGCGUGCAUAACACAUGCAAGUCUAACGGGAAAGUCGGCUUCGGCCGGCGAGUACCGUGGCGAACGGGUGAGUAACACGUGGGUAAUCUGACCUCGAGUUUGGGAUAACCUUGCGAAAGCGGGGCUAAUACCGAAUAAGACCACGCCGUGUUCGCACGGUGCGGUAAAAGGCGGCCUCUUCAUGAAAGCUGUCACUUGAGGAUGAGCCCGCGGCCUAUUAGCUAGUUGGUGGGGGAACGGCCUACCAAGGCGACGAUGGGUAGCCGGCCUGAGAGGGUGUACGGCCACACUGGAACUGAGACACGGGCCAGACUCCUACGGGAGGCAGCAGUGGGGAAUUUUGCGCAAUGGGGGAAACCCUGACGCAGCAACGCCGCGUGAGUGAUGAAGGCCUUCGGGUCGUAAAGCUCUUUUAGUGGGGAAGAAGCCUGCCUUGGCUAAUAUCCAAGGCAGAUGACGGUACCCACAGAAAAAGUUCCGGCUAACUACGUGCCAGCCGCCGCAGUAAGAC